GGCGAAGCUGAGAACUUAAGCGCCAGUAAACGGCGGUGGUAACUAUAACCAUCCUAAGGUAGCGAAAUUCCUUGUCGGGUAAGUUCCGACCUGCACGAAUGGCGUAACGACUUCUCGACUGUCUCAACCAUAGGCCCGGUGAAAUUGCACUACGAGUAAAGAUGCUCGUUUCGCGCAGCAGGACGGAAAGACCCCGGGACCUUUACUAUAGCUUGAUAUUGGUGUUCGGUUCGGCUUGUGUAGGAUAGGUGGGAGACUGUGAAGCAUGCACGCCAGUGUGUGUGGAGUCGUCGUUGAAAUACCACUCUGGUCGUGCUGGAUGUCUAACCUGGGUCCGUGAUCCGGAUCAGGGACAGUGUCUGGUGGGUAGUUUAACUGGGGCGGUUGCCUCCUAAAGGGUAACGGAGGCGCCCAAAGGUUCCCUCAGCCUGGUUGGCAAUCAGGUGUUGAGUGUAAGUGCACAAGGGAGCUUGACUGUGAGACCGACGGGUCGAGCAGGGACGAAAGUCGGGACUAGUGAUCCGGCGGUGGCUUGUGGAAGCGCCGUCGCUCAACGGAUAAAAGGUACCCCGGGGAUAACAGGCUGAUCUUCCCCAAGAGUCCAUAUCGACGGGAUGGUUUGGCACCUCGAUGUCGGCUCGUCGCAUCCUGGGGCUGGAGUCGGUCCCAAGGGUUGGGCUGUUCGCCCAUUAAAGCGGUACGCGAGCUGGGUUUAGAACGUCGUGAGACAGUUCGGUCCCUAUCCGCUGUGCGCGUAGGAGUCUUGAGAAGGGCUGUCCCUAGUACGAGAGGACCGGGACGGACGAACCUCUGGUGUGCCAGUUGUUCUGCCAAGGGCAUGGCUGGUUGGCUACGUUCGGGAGGGAUAACCGCUGAAAGCAUCUAAGCGGGAAGCCUGCUUCGAGAUGAGGACUCCCAC
rnacentral:rRNA from 1 species